rnacentral:lncRNA from 10 species
GCUCUAUUCCAGAAGCAGUCUGGAGCACAAAGAAUCCCUAAUCACUGACAUUAAGAAAGAAGAAAAAUAUUCCUAGGACGAUCCUGGAGAGCAAAGGUCAUCAGCAGUCACUUGACUUUCCUUGGAUUUCUCAACUGCAGUAGUCACAUGGUCUGCUGAAAAUGAAUUCUCUUUAUUUUCAUCUGAUUUCAAGGAAUUAUGGUUUUCAGUGAUUUCUUCAUUUGGAUCUAUUUUGAGACAGAGUAAUAGCAUUAAAACCCCCUUCUGAAUUAAUAAGGCAUUUGUUGCUGAAACGCAAAGUGUGACAAGCCAAUGGAGGCCAAGAUUUGAUUUUGAUAGCUCUUCCUACAAUUAUCCUUUGAAGGAAAGCAUAAAGAAGACAGAGAAAGAAGAGACACAGACAUGCAGAGAAAACACAGGGAAGAAGGCCACAUGGGAUGAAGGCAGAGAAGGGAAUGAUGCAGCUACAAGCCAGCUACAAGCCAAGGAAUGCCAUGGACUGCUGGCAACCACUAGAAAGAAGC